rnacentral:rRNA from 1 species
ACGUACGCUGGCGGCACGCCUAACACAUGCAAGUCGAGCGCACCUUCGGGUGAGCGGCGGACGGGUUAGUAACGCGUGGGAAUAUACCUAGUUCUAAGGAAUAGCCUCUGGAAACGGUGAGUAAUACCUUAUACGCCCUUCGGGGGAAAGAUUUAUCGGAAUUGGAUUAGCCCGCGUUAGAUUAGAUAGUUGGUGGGGUAAUGGCCUACCAAGUCUACGAUCUAUAGCUGGUUUGAGAGGAUGAUCAGCAACACUGGGACUGAGACACGGACCAGACUCCUACGGGAGCAGCAGUGGGAAUAUUGG